rnacentral:rRNA from 1 species
CUACGGGGGGCUCCAGUCGGGAAUCUUACGCAAUGGACGAAAGUCUGACGUAGCAACGCCGCGUGGAUGAAGAAGGCCUUCGGGUUGUAAAAUCCUUUCAGCAGGGAAGAAAAAAAUGACGGUACCUGAAGAAGAAGCACCGGCUAACUCCGUGCCAGCAGCCGCGGUAAUACGGAGGGUGCAAGCGUUAUCCGGAUUUACUGGGCGUAAAGCGCGCGUAGGCGGCUUGGCAAGUCUGACGUGAAAUCCCUCGACUUAAUCGAGGAAGUGCAUUGGAUACUGCUAGGCUAGAGUAUGAGAGGGGAGAACGGAAUUCCUGGUGUAGAGGUGAAAUUCGUAGAUAUCAGGAGGAACAACAGUGGCGAAGGCGGUUCUCUGGAUCAUUACUGACGCUGAGGCGCGAAAGUGUGGGGAGCAAACAGGAUUAGAUACCCGAGUAGUC